CCUCGGGGGGCCAUACCGGCUGAGACGCGACGCGCGGACCCGUUGAACCUGAUCCGGCUAACACCGGCGGAGGGAAGGUG
rnacentral:ncRNA from 1 species